GUGUGGCUCGCGGGCUCUAGAGCACAGGCUCAGUAGUCGUGGCGCACGGGCUUAGUUGCUCCGCGGUAUGUGGGAUCUUCCCAGGCAAGGGCUCGAACCUGUUUCCCCUGCAUUGGCAGGUGGAUUCUUAACCACUGCGCCAUCAGGGAAGCCCCACUGUGGUGGUUUUGUAUUUGUAUCUCUAGACAGUGAGCCUCAAUUAAAAAAAAGAAAAAAAAAUGUAAUCCUGUUUCAGUCCUUAUAUGUAAUUGAAACAAAUCUCGUAUUUUACUACUUGCAGUGCAUAGAUGUGCUUUUAUUUUUAAAAUGCUACUUAGGACACACUAAACGGUUCUGACCAACUGGGAACGAUUUCUUAGGAGUGUAGAAGUUAGUGUUUAUCUCCCGAUUCAGCUUAUUCUGGUGGUUGUGGAAGUGAAUUUGGGAUCCAAGUGGCAUUUUCAUUUCAGACAGCCAUUCUCCAGAUAGGCAGUGAAAAACAAGGCUUGAUGAAAAAACUUGGCCCCAGAAUGGCAACGAAUGAAAUCUCAAAGCAUAAAAAAGAGCCAGUCAACAACAACCCCUAGAACCUUAGGCUCUAAGAACCAGCUGGGUCAGGCAAGGGGCUAGAGGCUCUAGAGCCAAGGAAAAGCUUUAACUACCUUGUAAAGUCAGUCUCUUUAAAUCAGCCGCAUGACUCACUGCACCUACUAUUGUUUCCUGAAACUAGGUCUUUUCUCCCUACACCUAGAACAUAUCAGGUAUUUACGUUGACUGUCGUGAUCCCACAUUAGCACACACUAAUAGGACUAAUUUUCCCCAGAAAAAAGGAUAGUCCCAUAACUUGUUCAGGGAAUGGUAUAUAACAUGGUACACAAUACAGAAGAGCAUACUUUUUAAAACUUCCUUUACAUAGAUUUCUAAGUUAAAAACUGUUGUUUUGCUUAAUACUCUUAACCAUGGGAGGCAGACAGGCUAGACUAUAUUAGCCCCAUUUUAUAGGCAAGAGUGGAAACAUUUCCAUAUUUAGUAUACGACAGAUCUGGGAUAUAAACCCUGGGGCUUCCACACUCAACUGCUCUUUUCCCGUGACUUUUUGAUACAUCAUUUUAAAGUAAUCUGACUUCAUAAUGCUUUACAGUAUAAGAGUAACAUCUAUAACAUCUCAUCCUGGCAGGUUCACUCUUGAGCCAGUUAACUGUGAAAUAAAAUUCAUAUUUUAUGGAAAGAGAAGAAAAAUUUAAACAAAAAAUCUUCUCUGCCUUUUGGCCUCCUCUCUCCCACCACUGUGCAUUGUGUAUCUUGCAUUAUGCAUUGACCAAACCUUUACCAUUGGCGGAAAUUUCUACUCAACCAUAAAGAGCAACAUUCUCCUAAGACAGUUCCUUAAAGGUAACAUUCCUUCUUGAUAAGGGGUCACAUGGUGCUCAGAUGUGGAUUAUGUAAAUUGUCAAUAAUAUGUCAUUUGAUGUACAGCCCUCCUCUGUCUCAAAAAGCAUAUAUAACUGUAUCUUGACUUCUAAUGGGCGGAACAAUUCUCAGGGCUUUGUGAGAUGCUCUUCCUGCGUUAUAAUCCUCAAAUUUGGCUCGAAUAAAAUUUUCCAUUUCUUUUUUAGAUCGACUGAUUAAAAUUUUUCAUCGACAUAUGCUUGGUGUAGUCAGCAGUAUAUCAGAGACUCCUGCCAGAGGCCACCGGGAGUCUAUGCAGAACAAGUGCUUGGUGGCAGCAUGGGCCCAUUGAGCCCCACCUGCUUCUCAGCACUCCCCAGGUGUUUUUGGUGGGUUCUCCUGAUAUUUGGAUCUCAUUGUUUGGGUGUUGAUCCUAAAAAUUUUAUUUGAGCUGGGUUUCACUUAAGACUUAGAGUCUUAAGGGGCACCGGUGCAUUUCCUAGGCACCUAGGGUGUCUGGGCAAGAGGCCCAGGGAAACAUGUGGCUGGGGUUUUGUUAAAUUUGGCUUUAAAAAAAAAAAGAGUUGAUAUAUGGUCUGAACAAAACUUCUGCUAGUGAAAUCAGAGACUGAAUUAUUCAGCGCCAAAGAAUAAAGGGACAUUUUGCUCCUUCCAGCCACAAGCCAUCCUCAGAUGACUGAGGAUCUUUGGGAAGUGUCUGAGGAUCAAUUUUCAUGAUAUGUAGCGGUCCCAUAGGGAAACCCCAUUACAGUCAUUAAGUAAGUACUGCUCAUCCAGGCGGCGUGACAGAGGCUGAUCACCUAGUGUUCCGAGCACCCAAGAUGGUUUUAGGCUGUCACUGGGAGAAACUGAGCCACCUAAAAGAAGUCGAACCAGGGAAUUCCCUGGUGUUCCAGUGGUUAGGAUUCUGUGCUUUCACUGCCAGAGGCCCAGGUUCAAACCCUGGUCAGGGAACUAAGAUCCAGCAAGCCACAUGGUGCAGCCAGAAAAAAAAGGUUAGUAUCUGCAGAUUUUUGGUAACUUGAAACUAAACCAAGGUAAAUUAUGAGAAUUCAUUCACUAUCUGGGUCAUUACAAACAGGAUAAAAUUCUGGAACAUUAAUUGCCGGGGAGGUCUACGUUCUUAGAAGAGGAAAACUAAAGCAUAAGCGUAAGUUUGCCAAUCAGGAAAUGCUGAUAUGACAAACACCAUUUUUAUUUAUUUAUUUUGGCUGCGCCAUGUGCGGCAUGCAGGAUCUAGUUCCCUGACCAGGGAUCGAACUCGUGCCCCCGUGGAAGCUCGGAGUCCUAACCACUGGACCACCAGGGAAUUCCAGAGAAAAAUUAAGGUUUUAAGGUUAAGAAUUAUAAGGGAAACAUUUCAGUAUGCAAGGAAGUAGGAUGUGUGUUUUCAGCAAAGAAGGUAUGAGGAUUGAAAAUGCAUUUUGUUAAAGGAAAAAAGGUUUUGUCCUAGAGCUGGUUGUUUCUGAAUAGAUACAGAAAGUUGUGGAAAGUUUGUGGAAAAGGAACACUGAGUUUUGUGCAUGGUCAAAAUUGGCUGAGAUAAGAUUGAACUUAAUUAAGGAAAUUUUUUUUUUUUUUUUGCGGUACGCGGGCCUCUCACUGUUGUGGCCUCUGCCAUUGCGGAGCACAGGCUCCGGACGCACAGGCUCAGCAGCCAUGGCUCACGGGCCCAGCCACUCCGCGGCACGUGGGAUCUUCCCGGACCGGGGCAUGAACCUGUGUCCCCUGCAUCGGCAGGCGGACUCUCAACCACUGCGCCACCAGGGAAGCCCAAGGAAAUGUUUUAAAGAUCAACUGAUUAAAGGCACAGGGGCUCAGCAAUCUACCACCAUGUUCUUAAUAGGAAACACCCACUGGCUUGAAGGGAAAAAAGCCACCUUGGUAAGCCUUGGUCUUCCACAGGGCACAGAACCAGAGGAUACUAGCAAGGUCAGAGCCCAUGUGACCAAUCCUGGUAGUGCAGGACUUCUUCACAUAAGAUGACUGAGUCCCUGAGAAAGAUCUACCAACACCCUAAACUUCCAAGAAAAAAACUGGAGUGUAUGCAUGUUUUCUUGGGGAAAGGGUCCUUCCCUUCGCAUAGAUCCAAGAGUCGGUUAAAAUCCUGAGCUAGAGAAAAGCACUAAGCCAGCUGCAAAGAUGAUAAUAAGGAAGCUACCAGAUACACCCAGAGCCAGCCAGUCGGAGAGCUCACUAAGCCGUCACGGAAGUUAGAACACAGACUCACAGCAGACAACAGGGCAUUGUUUUUGUGCGCUUCUUUCUAAUUGUAUUUCAAGUUCUUUCUAAAACAAGGCCCUUGGAUACCCCAGGUUCGAUAUGCCCCUGGGCCUGGUCCACUGCUGUCUUGUAUUCAUAUGUGGGUAUCUGUUCGUUCACCAACAUUAAAUCCCAGGAUAGGUGUGAUAAAACAGGACUCCCUCCUCCAUGGCACAAGUCCUUUGCUGGUAUGAGGUGGACGGCGGUCUUUGCAGAAAACACACAGGAACUUUUUCUUGGAACUGAAGUGGGAUGAAAAGUGCCUGCCCUGAACAUCACCAUCUUUUCUCUGACCCUUCCCCUCCAGUUUCUGAAGAUACAGCAGAAAAUAAUCUUGCUUGAAGAUACUGGGUAACAAUUCCAUAAAACAAAAA